rnacentral:misc_RNA from 1 species
CCAAUUAUUGGUACUAAUUAAUCAUCCUACCCUUUGUGAAUUUGUUUGUAUGAAUUUUUUUAAAUGGGUCUUUCCCUAAGUUGGAUUGUUAGUAAAAUACAAAAAGACUUAGGGGAAUGACUUUUUAAAAGACUUUUUUUUAAUUAAAACUUUUUGUAUUCAUUUGUCUAAAAUUUAUUUUUAUAAUAUAAAAACAACUUUUGACAAUGGAUCUCUUGGUUCUCGCAACGAUGAAGAACGCAGCAAAAUGCGAUAAGUAGUGUGAAUUGCAGAAUACGUGAAUCAUCGAAUCUUCGAACGCAUAUUGCACUUUUUAGUUUACUAAAAAAGUAUGUCUGUUUGAGUAUCAGUAAAAUAUUCUCACAAAAACAAUUUGUUUUUUGUGGUUAUGAGUGUUUUACAACGAUAAACAAGUUGUUUCACUUUAAAUUCUUUUUAAUUGAAUUUUACCAAUUCAUAAAUUAAAAUUGGAUAAAAUUUUCCUUUAACGAGGAAUAACCUAAACAAUUUUAAAUUUUAUGGAUUAAUAAACAUUCAUCAAAGGAAUCUAUACAACAAAUAACUUGAUCUCAAAUCAGAUAAGAGUACCCGCUGAACUUAAGCAUAUCAAUAAGCGGAGGAAAAGAAACUAACAAGGAUUCCCUUAGUAACGGCGAGUGAAGCGGGACGAGCUCAAAUUUGAAAUCUUCAAGGUUUGACCUUGACGAAUUGUAGUUUAUAGAAGGGUUUUCUGUUGGAGUUUUGGUAAAAGUUCUUUGGAAUAGGACAUCAUAGAGGGUGAGAAUCCCGUAUUUGACCAUGACUUUCCAGCUGUGUGAUACACUUUCAAAGAGUCGGAUUGUUUGGGAAUGCAGUCCAAAAUGGGUGGUAAAUUUCAUCUAAAGCUAAAUAUUGGCGAGAGACCGAUAGCGAACAAGUACCGUGAGGGAAAGAUGAAAAGAACUUUGAAAAGAGAGUUAAACAGUACGUGAAAUUGUCAAAAGGGAAGCGUUUGACACCAGUGUUGUUUUCUCGAAAAUCAAUUUAAUGAGUUCUUGUUUUUAAGUUAUUGUGACUUUAUCAGCGCAUUUCUUAUUUACUUGACUCAUUGAAUGCACUUUUCGUUUAACAAGUCAACAUCAAUUUCUUUGGUGGUAAAAAGUUUAAAGGAAGGUGGCUUGGACUUCGGUUCAAGUGUUUAUAGCCUUUUUUCUAUGCCAUCGGAGAGAUUGAGGUCCGCAGCGUAGAUCCUUCGGGUUAGAUACCUUUGUGCUAAGUUAUAGUUUUUUAUAGACAACUCGUUGACUAUAAUUAACCCUGUAAUUUACUCGCUUAGGCUAUUUUACCUACGCUUAGGAUGUUGAG